GUGGGUGGAAACUCAUCGUAGAGGUCACAUGCAGGGUGCUAGUCACUUAACCAAUCACCUUGGGGAAGGUCUGAGACAGGAGCCAAUGACUGCCCUAGCAGGGCAUCACCCUCUCUGGGUGAAUGAGUGCACAGAGAAUAUUGGCUGUUGUGAGCUGUCUUCACAGGAGAAACCAGCCAGUGUAGCUCUCCAGCACUUCUGGUGGAUGUGACCCCCACUGGUUUGGAAUCACUCAUGGCUGGCAUAUGAGUGCAAUGUGAGUUGGAGUAUACCUCCAGAACACUCUGCCCAC
rnacentral:RNase_P_RNA from 1 species